AGAUGUGGUGCAGAUUACAGAGAGGGUUCUUACUACGCUAAUAUAUGAACUACUUUGAAUCUAUAAAUCUCACUGAAAUGUCAUUCUAUGCAACUGUGCAUACCUUUUAUAUUGAUCUGUGUAUCGUAUGUAAGUACCACAAAGACGUGAUAAAUCUGGAAGAAGUUGAGAAGAGCUUUGCUCAUUCAGAAGGAAAAAGAAGGUUGGAAAUCAAGCUUACCUUAAUUCAAAUAUGUCCAUACUCACUCCAGUAAAGUGU